AAAAACAUAAAUGCGGAGGAAAUAGAACUAUAUUGCAAGUACAUCGCACCUGCUCGUAAACGUCAAUUUGAAUUGAAAGUUUUGGCUGAAGCGGUAUUCAAAAAUAACAAAAAGAGCUACCAGGAAAGCAUUUCCAAGUGGUUCGUCGACUGCCGCUUGUCGACUGAGCAGCAAGGUCCUUUCCGUUCCAUUUUCGAAGCCAAUGUCAAAUCACAAGGCGAAACGAUUUUGUACUCGGCUCCGGUCAAGAAAUUCGAUCGUCAUGGCUACAAAGAACGUGAACGCUACUUGGCACUUACCAAAUCGGCCGUCUAUUUGCUGGAUGCGAAGGAUUGCAAGAUCAAGCACCGCUUGACAUUCAACCGAUCACUAUUUCUGAGAGAAGACAAGCAAAGGACUCGAAACAAGUGCCGUGAUUUGGUCAAGUAUAUUUACAAGUUACAAUCAAUAAUCGUGAUUCGGAAUUCCAGCAGCUAGUCUCGUCAACCUGGUAUACAUAUAUGAUAAUAGCACAUAAAAUCCUAAACAUAUUUUGGUUAGAUUGAUUGUUUAUAUCAAGGGGGAAAUUAUUGUAUAUGUUAUGUUGAAUUGAUGUGCAUUUCGAAGUCGAUAACAUGGAACCCUUAUCAAUUAA